UACGUAGGGGGCAAGCGUUAUCCGGAUUUACUGGGUGUAAAGGGAGCGUAGACGGCAGCGCAAGUCUGGAGUGAAAUACCGGGGCUCAACCCCGGGACUGCAUUUGGAACUGUUAAGCUGGAGUGUCGGAGAGGCAGGCGGAAUUCCUAGUGUAGCGGUGAAAUGCGUAGAUAUUAGGAGGAACACCAGUGGCGAAGGCGGCUUCCUGGUCUGCAACUGACACUGAGGCGCGAAAGCGUGGGGAGCAAACAGG
rnacentral:rRNA from 1 species